ensembl:lncRNA
AUUGCUCAGUAUUGAUGCUGUAAGAAGUCUAGCAGGUGGUUAGGUAAAAAGUUCAUUUCAAAGCCAUGAGAGGUAGGAGUAAGGGGAUUUCCUGUGAUCAUCCAUACCUCUGCAAAUGGUGAUGUUACUUUCUUGCUUGGAUGAGGCUAAGGGGACUAAUUGUCCUUUCUUGCAGUCCAUAUAGUCCCCCUGCUGCGUAUCACUGUUCCUAAACAUAGGAGGGGCUCUCAAACCCACACAAUCAAAACUGUUCUAUCUUGCCCAAUGCCCAGGCAGUGGUGUGUGAUCGUAGACACAAGACUGUGGGCAGUGAAUACCAUGACAGAGGGUCACAACUGAGGUUAUGUUGGUGCUUUAUUUUUUAAAAUGAAACCUUGUGUGUGUGAUGGUGGAUACAUAAAGUAAGAGAAAUAUACUGAUUUUUGGAGUGAAAAUAUUUCAGUUCAAAGAUCUGAAGGGAUUUUGAUCCCUGAAUUAAAUUUCCUGAAUGAAAGAUUCAGGGUUCAGGAAGGGGAUGUGAAGGUGCUGAGAAGUUUUUUAACUGGACUUGUGAAUGGUCUGGUAAGAAUCUUUUUCCAAGUGCAUUUUUUCACAAUACAGGCUGUGAGAAGUGACAGUCUCUGGUUGUAGAGAAAAGCAACACUUGUCUCUGUUUUUAUCUGCUGAAUCCUUAACCCAUAAUGGGGGGAGAUGUGGUACUACAUAGUAUCUGUACUUGUAACUGGGAUAAGCAGAUAAGCUUUCACUUGGAAGCUUCUAAGUACAGAUUACAUUUUCUUAAACCUGGAUGCUAGAGGGUUUGGGUUUUCUAAUGUAUGCAUAAAUGAGUGGGAAAGUUAUUCUUGCCGUGUUUUCUGAUCUGUCUUGCCCUCCUUCCCCAAGAUACAUCAUUUAAGAUAAAAAUUCAAUUAAUAUUAAAAUCAAAACAGCACAGCAAAGAUGCUGGGGCAGCAUCAAGAAGCUUGAACAAGUUGCUUUAUGCAGCUGAUGGCAUUCAGAGCUCUUAUUCUUUCAGUACUUCUGUUAUGUAGAUCCAGAAAACAGAUUAAAUCUUGCAGGAGCUGAUAUUCCUGGAAGAUCCUGGACCCAUGCAUGGGAGGAUGUUGCAAGCACUCAAACUGUUGCUGAAAUUAGAAGUGCUCUGGAUCAUGCAGUGCAACAGUUAUUUUUUUAACCUGUUCUGCAUCUGUCAUAGAAAAACCCGAACUUAAGUGUAGUCUUCACUUGUUUGUAGGAACAGAUGCACUCCUUUCCAGCUGUUUCGGUGUCUGUUUUGGCUUUAGUAGACCAAAGUGCAUGUAGUGGCUCCGUAUGGGAACCAGCACACCCAAAUGCAAAAUGUGAGUAAUAAGAGGAAGAAGUGUCAAGCAUGACAGGACGGUCAGCUUUCUUUAUCUGACUGUUUGUUAGUUGGCUUUGCUGAACUGUUGGGGUUGUACAACCCAGAAGUAGUACAGACAAGGAUGAAGUUGUGGCUGAAACAUUUUGGGAGGUCCUGGUUUGUCAUAUCUGGAACACAGCCUUUCCCAGGGGAAUUCAGGGAAGCCUCUUGGUAUGUAAAUUGCUGUUUCUGAAGGCUGUAGAGGGGAAAUUACCUCUUAGUGUGAAACUAAAGGGACAAAAAGCAGUUUUGUACCUGGGGAGAGCUCACAGCUGAAGAUCAGUCCUAAGUGCUUGCACUGGGUUGAAUUCACUUGAAUAGUAUCAGACAUCUGUGUGUUUGGUGUGGGAAGUUCUUGCAGUGUGAGAGAAUUUGAUUAGGAUGACAGUGAGAAUGCGACGCUUCAAGUUUUUAUUUCUAAAGUGACUUUUCAAGUAGGUAGAGCAUACAGUGAAUUUUUUUUGUUUGCAUUUAGAGCUCAAAUCAACCCUUAAAAGUUGCUGUCAGUGCAUACUGCUUUGUCUAGGGCAAAACAGUUGUGCCGCCUUCAUUUUCAGAAGUGCUUUGGUAGCGGCUUUUAAUUGCAAUAAGCAAAAAAUGGAGAGGUUUUAGAAGCAGACCCAGCUUGGAUCACUGCCUCUUUUGCUCUUUGCAUAGAAGGUACUUAGAGGUGCUUAAGAACUUGGAGCUUCUAGACAGACGGUUUCUGCAUUUCUGGCGAGAGUUUUCUAAUACGUCUGCUGCUCUUGUUGGGUAGUUGCAAUCUGAUUUUUAGCUUUCCUGUAUGUUUUAGUGAGAACAGUGUUAUCUUGUUAAAAUCUUCCUUCCCUCUUUUUGAUCUGAAACUGAGCUCAAAUAAUUUUGUCCAAAUUGAGUGUUUCAGGAUAGGACUGGAGAAAGGAAGGGGUAUUCUUUCCUCAGCCCUACCACUUCAAACUUACACCUGCUCCCUGUGCCUUCUGAGCCUGUGUUCUGAAGUGGAAGGGAAGACUUCAACCAGGAAUCACCAGAUGCGUCUGCAGAAUGGAAAUACUCUGUUUACCUGAGCAGGUUGUACCAGAGAUUCUUCAUCCUUUGCCUACCAUGACAGCCAUCAUAUAUAAGAAAGAACUUCAAAUCGUUUUUAUAAAUGUAGUCUUGAUACUUAGAAUCAUGGUCUCCGUAACAGUAUUGGUUUUAUAACAACUUAGAAUCUUUUCUUGCCUCUUCUGUUGGCUGUUGUGGCAGUAAACAAUCAAUCUCUCCCUUCCCCGCUCCCAGGGAAGAACUUGUUUUAAUACCUGUUCCCUUGCUCACAUCCAUCUUAUCUUUUCCAGAUAUCACCAACUCAUUGUCUCACAUGAUCUGAUGGAAGUAACCAGUAAAACUCAAAUCUGUUAAUCAAAUGGAUAACAGAUUCUCCAAAUCUCCUCAUUCUUGAGAGCCAGUCCUUGGAGCUUGCAUAGGUUGGGAUGUGGGAGCAGACAGCAGUGUGGAGGGCUGUGGCAAACUGAGCUGUGCCCAUCUUUACCUGAGCUGUCUGCUGUGACCUUGUGUCUGGCACUGGGAGGUUUCAGUAGUCUGUGGAGUCCUUAGACAGAGCGUUGCCUUGAUAAGAGGUGG